ACAAAGGCUGGAUGAUUCAACUACAGACCAGAGGCACCACAAGAGUUUGGUGAUGCCAAAUCUGACCGCGCAGAGUGGGGCUGAGGCUCCCCAGGCAGGGAUAAAACAAGGGUUGAUGUCUCUCCAACUCAGCUGCAGACCUGCUGGGCAAAGAUUUUCACCAUAACAAGGUUUUUAUUGUGCAGCUAAUCACUGCAUUUCACUACUUCUCAGCGCAGAUCCAGGGGCAAUGUCUGCAGGCCAGUGAAGAUAGGAUUGGCUCUACAUCUGGAUUGGGGAUGGUCACCUGCAGCCGCCUCUGUGCUCAGACAACAUGGCCUUGUCUCAGAGCCCAUCCUCUUCCAUCCCUCCUGUUAGGCAGAUAUGUUUUCUGGCUCAGACUUCAGACCAGCAAAGUGCUCUACACCCUUUUGAAAGGAAACAGCAGAUUUCCUCCAUGCUUUGGGACUCAGCACAGGCUGCAGUUUUCAAGAUGAGUAGGUGCCCUGCCUGCAUGGCACAGACCAGCGCCCCGUUAUGUGCCACUUGUCACCUGCAUCACGCCUGCACAGCACGCU